rnacentral:rRNA from 1 species
GGAUCGUAAAACUCUGUUAUCAGGGAAGAACAAAUGUGUAAGUAACUGUGCACAUCUUGACGGUACCUGAUCAGAAAGCCACGGCUAACUACGUGCCAGCAGCCGCGGUAAUACGUAGGUGGCAAAGCGUUAUCCGGAAUUAUUGGGCNGUAAAGCGCGCGUAGGCGGUUUUUUAAGUCUGAUGUGAAAGCCCACGGCUCAACCGUGGAGGGUCAUUGGAAACCUGGAAAACUUGAGUGCACGAAGAGGAAAGUGGAAUUCCAUGUGUAGCGGUGAAAUGCGCAGAGAUAUGGAGGAACACCAGUGGCGAAGGCGACUUUCUCGGUCUGUAACUGACGCUGAUGUGCGAAAGCGUGGGGAUCAAACAGGAUUAGAUACCCUGGUAGUCCACGCCGUAAAACGAUGAGUGCUAAGUGUUAGGGGGUUUCCGCCCCUUAGUGCUGCAGCUAACGCAUUAAGCACUCCGCCUGGGGAGUACGACCG